rnacentral:rRNA from 1 species
GUAUAAGAGACAGCAGUCGCCGCGGUAAUACAGAGGGUGCAAGCGUUAAUCGGAAUUACUGGGCGUAAAGCGUGCGCAGGCGGUGUUGUAAGACUGAUGUGAAAUCCCCGGGCUCAACCUGGGAACUGCAUUGGUGACUGCAACGCUGGAGUGCGGCAGAGGGGGAUGGAAUUCCGCGUGUAGCAGUGAAAUGCGUAGAUAUGCGGAGGAACACCGAUGGCGAAGGCAAUCCCCUGGGCCUGCACUGACGCUCAUGCACGAAAGCGUGGGGAGCGAACAGGAUUAGAUACCCCGGUAGUCCCUGUCUCUUAUAC